rnacentral:rRNA from 1 species
GACGAACGCUGGCGGCGUGCUUAACACAUGCAAGUCGAACGAAGUGGCGAACGGGUGAGUAACGCGUAUUCAACCUGCCCUUCCGAGGGGGACAACAGUUGGAAACGACUGCUAAUACCGCAUACUGAAGGAGGGGAUUGCGUUUGAUUGGGUAGUUGGGGGGGUAACGGCCCAACAAGGCGAUGAUCAGUAGCCGGUCUGAGAGGAUGAACGGCCAAAUUGGGACUGAGACACGGCCAAGACUCCUACGGGAGGCAGCAGUGGGGAAUCUGCCGCAAUGGAAGGAAGUCUGACGGAGCAACGCCGCGUGAGUGAUGACGGCCUUCGGGUUGUAAAGCUCUGUUAAUCGGGACGCGGUACCGGAAGAGAAAGCCACGGCUAACUACGUGCCAGCAGCCGCGGUAAUAC